UUGUUGGUUCCAUACUAAAUAAACGCCUUACGUUGCACGAAGUUAACAGAUUCAAAGCGGUGUACAAUUCCAGAAAUAACUGGAAGAUUUAUUUUCUAAAUUACACAAGCUCAAAAUAUUGUAUUUUACAACACGUCUGUCCAAUCAAAAACAAAUAGGCGUGAUUUAUUAAGAUACAGCCCUUUCAAAACCUCACGCAAAAGUCCAACGUGCAGAAGAUUCUUUUAUUAUAUCAUUACAGCUACGAAGCAGUCACACGAAUUCGGUGCUCCCGCAAAACUUCUCCACUUCGAAACAGGAUGUUGCUCGAAACAGUGGUAGCACUUCUGCAAAUAUUCCUACAAAUUGCUGCACAUCCACAACAUUUGAAUACGAACACAAUAAUUCCAAAAAAUGAUACGGCAGGACGAUCUUGGAGUACUGGAGGAAUGCCCUUCAGCGUGCUUUACAUGAACUCGCAAUCGCUCAAGUACGCACCGGCGGACAUCUCCCACGUACCACCACCUGUGUACCUCAGACGUCGGGAGCUUCCAAAAAUUCACAAAAACAAACGACGCUACCCCACAUUACCUCAUCUAUUUGCGACGUACGAACGAAAACAAUUUAAACAAUGACCUACCGUUCAUUUCUUUCAUCGCCUUUGUAAAAUCGGCUGGAUCUUUAAAGCUAAUAAAACCGUAACCUUUA